rnacentral:piRNA from 1 species
UGCAGGUGAAAUUUGUCUGUAUUCGGACGC